rnacentral:lncRNA from 1 species
UGCAACUAUUUUUAGGCCUUGUUUCAAUAAAGUUUAUUUCAAUACAACUAAUUUUCCGAAUUUUCAUCCAGGUGUUUUUUCAUUGGCAUGUUUGUCGUGACCUAGGUGCCUCAAUAAUGUUGGCAUAACAUUGGCAGAAUAACCAAUUUAAGUCUGGUUCCAUUAUCUUCAUCUGGUCUGGGCAGGAGUAAAAUCGGGUACUGCAUGGGCACUGCCUCUUUUUGGAGCACUCUCAGGAAGAGCUUAGCAGUCUAACUCCUGUGCACUAAUGUCCUAUCACAGCUGGCACCAUUUGAAAAGUGAGUUUCCUUCAGGUUCUCCAAUUUUUUGCCUGUGAGUCUCUUAAAGUUAAUAUGAUUUCUCCAUUUAUGGGUCCUAGGA